rnacentral:rRNA from 1 species
UAGGGAAUUUUCGUUCAAUGGGCGCAAGCCUGAACGAGCAAUGCCGCGUGAACGAGGAAGGUCUUCGGAUCGUAAAGUUCUGUUGAAGGGGAAAAAGAGCGGAGAGAGGAAAUGGUCUCCGAUUGAUAUUACCCUUCGAGGAAGUCACGGCUAACUACGUGCCAGCAGCGCGGUAAUAUCUGUCU